GAAACACAUCUGUGGUGUUUUUAAAGGCUUCUGAGUGGUCAGAUUUCGAUUCGAUGCCACUGGAGAACUAUACAUCAUCUCCCUGCAUGAGUCUCGAUGACAGCAAUUCUGAGGGAGUUCUUGGAGCUUCAAGAAAGGACCCUUUUUACCAAGUGUUGUGUGCUAGCCUGAUACCUGAUGCUCCGGAUUCACUGGGUGAUCUGAUGCAUGGGAAACAGAAACCACUUACCUCGUCUUAUGAUGAAAAGCUGCCUGUCAUGUUAAUUUGAAGCAUUGUUGCAGAUUGAGACAAAGAACCGUGUAAAGAGUCUCUACAAUUUAGGGCUGGUCAUCUUGAGGAAGCUGUUGAACCUGUCCAGGAAGUACUCGGUCAUUGGAUGUGACAAGGUCCUAGAGAGUUCCAGUGAAGAAAGUGAUGAGAAUGAGACUGUUUCCAAGGUAACCACAACAAAGCGGAAACGUAAACAGAAAAGUAGACGAAGGAAGAAACUAUGCUCUGUACCUUGUCGAGAAUCUACUGAGGUUG